GGCCGGGUCGGGCGCCGCGCUUCUGCCUGGGCUCCGGCACAUUCCCCCGGGCCCGUCCCAUGUCGGGCUGCGUCUUCCACUCCUCGCUCCAGGCAUCGCUCGCUUUCUCCCGGCCGCGCUAAACAAGUUAUCUGUUACAGAAGGGGGGGAACCCCAAACGUGAAGUCGCCGUUAAACCGUUUCAGCAGGGAAACUAUCCGACAAGACGCUUAAGAUGCCCUGUGAGGUAAAACGUAGUGAUAGAGUAAAACGCACCAGGCUCCUCGGCCCCUGCUCGUUUGCGCUGUACUUAAAAUUCCUCUCUGUGCAAGUACCAGCAAGUCAGAGGCCGUGCAUGUAAAGAAAAUGGGAUUUUAGCUGAAGGCCUAAAACACUGCUGCUUCAUUUGCUUAAAAGGUUAAAAAGAGCGUCUAUACCGAGUUAAAAAAAAAUAUUAUUUCUGGGAGCCUGCUACAUACACCAAGUUAGGGUUUUUUUUUAAUUUAAUCAUUUUUAUAAGUAUUUUCUGGGUGAGGGAGUGAAAAUACCUAUUCAUUAAUUAUAGCUCUAUCACAGAACAAACAAGAAAGAAAACUAAAUACUAGCAAAUUCUGUGUUCGGUGCACUUUAGUGCUUAAAUACUAGUAAAUUCUUUAGGUGUUCAAUGCAUUUCAGUGCUGUGCAAACUGGAGCUGUCUGAGCCCAGGUUCAGCUGUGAUAAUACAGCCAGAACCUCAAGUAGUGUUAAAUGACAAGAUUAGUGUGGUGAUAAUAAAUAAGAGGAAUGCUCUAAGAGAAACGCUCUGGAAAUAGAAAAAGUGUUCAAAGUGUAGAAUCAACCUUACAUGUUUAUCUUGCAGCACUAAGGUAUAUGACUUUAAUAGUGCUGGAAAAUUAUUUAAUUUAGAACAGGCACAAUUUAUUUAAAACCAGGCUUGAGUACUUUUUUUUCCAGAAUGUUUAGGCUGCUUGUAAACUUUAAGUCCCGUUAUCUUUCCCAUGACAAGGAAACCCAUUUUAAAUGAACGAUUUUUCUUUCCCUACAACUACUCUCUCAUCUGAAAAUGCUGUUAAUUAUUUUUACUGAAUAGAGAAAUUCAGUUGCUACAAAGUUGGGAGGAAUGGGAUACAAUAAGCUACAGAACAACGAGGCUUCUCAUAUUCCUAGUAUUUGGCAGUUUCCUACUUAAGUCAUUGCCCUUUUAACCACAGGUUGUACUUAAAUUUGUUAAGCUUAGUAAUGCUUGAGUUUAAUUUCUUCUUGCUUCACUUGUCCAAACAUACGUUUCUGUAAUAGGAUUAUUUGUGCAGUCUCUGUAUUUAUUCAUACUACAUAGUAGUAAUAUAAUUUAUUCUGAAAACCUCUGGUCAGAACUCUUUUUUUUUUUAAAUGAAACGAUCAAUGGGGGAGAACUGUUUUGCUGUCAUGUUACAUACCUCAACAGUCAGCUAGACCAGACUAAUAGCUGCUGUUGUGCUUGUAUAUCUUCCUCUCAGGGUGGAUAUGAAUGAAAAUGGAGGAGAAGACAGCAAAACUGUACAAGUUGCUUAAAGUUAUGGCAUAGGGUAAACACAAGAUGGACUUAUCUUUGGGAUUGGUCUGUGUCUAACACAAGUCAAGUUUGAAGACUAACCUCUUCGAUACUCUACUCUCCAUUUUUGGCUCCAAAGACUGCCUCUUCCCAUGCAGCAGAACUGAUAAAGAAUCUCCAGAAUCAAUGUAACUGCUGAAUUCUGAGUUAUCAGCUGUGAAAAUAAACAGUCUUGUGACUUGCCUUACAUCUGCUUCAGAAAGGGACUGCUGCAAGUGCAGGUGUGGAAAGACUACUGAAAGUUCUUGCAGUGCCUUCAGCAUGUAUACAGUUGUGGUGCAUUCCCAGAU